AUAUCAAUAAGCGGAGGAAAAGAAACUAACAAGGAUUCCCUUAGUAACGGCGAGUGAAGCGGGAAUAGCUCAAAUUUGAAAGCUGGCAGCAAUGUCCGCGUUGUAAUCUAGAGAAGUGUUUUCCGUGCUGGACCAUAGAUAUGUUCCUUGGAAUAGGAUGUCAUAGAGGGUGAGAACCCCGUACAUGCUAUGGACUGCCAAUGCUUUGUGAUACACUCUCAAAGAGUCGAGUUGUUUGGGAAUGCAGCUCAAAAUGGGUGGUAAAUUCCAUCUAAAGCUAAACAUAGGCGAGAGACCGAUAGCGCACAAGUA
rnacentral:rRNA from 1 species